rnacentral:rRNA from 1 species
GGAAACGGAUGCUAAUACCCCAUAGGUGGAUUGGUCGCAUGACGAAUUCAUUAAAGGUGGCUUUGCUACCACUCAUGGAUAGCCUCGCGGCGUAUUAGCUAGUUGGUAAGGUAAUGGCUUACCAAGGCAGUAAUACGUAGCCGACUUGAGAGGGUGAUCGGCCACACUGGGACUGAGACACGGCCCAG